CUCAUCGCAGGCUGCAAAUACUUCUGAGGCCAAGAGGUAUCUCAUCUCUGCAGCUGGCACUGCCUUUCCUGCUUCUGCCUGUGGCUGCAGUCAACUGGGAAUGACUGAUAAGGAGCAGAAAAGUCAUACAGGAAGAACACAGAGAACUCUUGAUGGAGGAAUUUGCAAUCCUGCAAAGAGAAGUGCUGGGGAAAGAACUGCUCAAAGGGUCCCUUCUCUUCACAGCUGGCCAAUGGAAGAAGAGCAGUUUGGCUUUCCUGCAUUUAGUGGCAUCUCUCGCCUGACCUGGCUGGUAUCCUUCUUGGGUAAGCAUUUCCU